rnacentral:tRNA from 1 species
GCCUAGUUAGCUUAGUUGGUAGUGCGUCUGCCUUGUAAGCGCUAGGGCGCGGGUUCGAUUCCCGCCAGGGCG